AAAAAGAUAAGCUAAAUAAGCUUUUAGGUUCAUACCCUAAUUAUAAAGGUCAAAAUCCUUUUCUUUUUA
rnacentral:tRNA from 1 species